rnacentral:rRNA from 1 species
CCUACGGGGUGCAGCAGUGGGGAAUAUUGGACAAUGGGCGAAAGCCUGAUCCAGCCAUGCCGCGUGUGUGAAGAAGGCCUUCGGGUUGUAAAGCACUUUCAGUGGGGAAGAAAGCCUUGGGGCUAAUACCCUCGAGGAAGGACAUCACCCACAGAAGAAGCACCGGCUAACUCCGUGCCAGCAGCCGCGGUAAUACGGAGGGUGCGAGCGUUAAUCGGAAUUACUGGGCGUAAAGCGCGCGUAGGCGGUCUGAUAAGCCGGUUGUGAAAGCCCCGGGCUCAACCUGGGAACGGCCUCCGGAACUGUCAGGCUAGAGUGCAGGAGAGGUAGGUAGAAUUCCCGGUGUAGCGGUGAAAUGCGUAGAGAUCGGGAGGAAUACCAGUGGCGAAGGCGGCCUUCUGGCCUGACACUGACGCUGAGGUGCGAAAGCGUGGGUAGCAAACAGGAUUAGAUACCCCGGUAGUC